CCCUCGGCCUCCGAUCCGGUGCGGUCCGGGCUCCGUGCGGGACGUGCAGGACGCGACGCGAGCUCUGUGCAGUGGCGUAGCGCGGCGUACAGUGGCGUAGCGUAGCGUAGCGCAGUGUGUGUGAGUGCGUGCGACAGCAGAGUGCAGCAGUGAGUGCAGUCAGUGUGCCGUGUGCAGUAGUGUGCAGUGCCUUAAGUUUGGGACCCGUCGACGCCGUGCACCUAUUCAGGUCGCAGGCCGGCGAACAUGGGGUGUUGAGGGCAUCGACGAGGAGGUGAAGCACUUCAAAGGCAGCCGGCCGGCCACCGGCACGCAUCUGAUUCCGAGCAUGGGCCCGGAGCGGCCGCCCCCUCCCUUGCAUCACCGAGGGAUGGAGGGUCCACAGCCCCACGAGCGGCCACGGAGUCCGCGCCUCGAGCCCCACCGCACCGCCACCGGCGUGAGGUGGAGAGGGACGCACCUACUAGCGGGGCUCUUCCUCCUGUGUGCG